UACGUAGGGGGCAAGCGUUGUCCGGAUUUAUUGGGCGUAAAGAGCGUGUAGGCGGCCAGACAGGUCCGUUGUGAAAACUCGAGGCUCAACCUCGAGAUGUCGAUGGAAACCGUCUGGCUAGAGUCCGGAAGAGGAGUGUGGAAUUCCUGGUGUAGCGGUGAAAUGCGCAGAUAUCAGGAAGAACACCUAUGGCGAAGGCAGCCCCCUGGGUCGAUACUGACGCUCAUGCACGAAAGCGUGGGUAGCAAACAGG
rnacentral:rRNA from 1 species